rnacentral:rRNA from 1 species
GAUGAACGCUAGCUACAGGCUUAACACAUGCAAGUCGAGGGGAAACGAUAUUGGAAGCUUGCUUCCGAUAGGCGUCGACCGGCGCACGGGUGAGUAACGCGUAUCCAACCUGCCCAUCACUUGGGAAUAACCUUGCGAAAGUAAGACUAAUGCCCAAUGACAUUUAUAGAAGGCAUCUGAAAUGAAUUAAAGAUUUAUCGGUGAUGGAUGGGGAUGCGUCUGAUUAGCUUGUUGGCGGGGUAACGGCCCACCAAGGCGACGAUCAGUAGGGGUUCUGAGAGGAAGGUCCCCCCACAUUGGAACUGAGACACGGUCCAAACUCCUACGGGAGGCAGCAGUGAGGAAUAUUGGUCAAUGGGCGAGAGCCUGAACC